CCUACGGGUGGCUGCAGUAGGGAAUAUUGGACAAUGGGCGAAAGCCUGAUCCAGCCAUGCCGCGUGAUAGAUGAAGGCCCUCUGGGUUGUAAAUAUCUUUUAUCUGGGAAGAAACAAUCUUAUUCUUAAGAUCUUGACGGUACCAGAGGAAUAAGCACCGGCUAACUCCGUGCCAGCAGCCGCGGUAAUACGGAGGUUGCAGGCGUUAUCCGUAUUAACUGGGUUUAAAGGGUGCUGAUAAGUCAGGGUAGAAAGCUCCGAGCUUAACUUGGAAACUGGCAUUGAUACUGCCAGUCUUGAAUGUCGUAGAGGUAAGCGGAAUGUUGCAUGUAGCGGUGAAAUGCUUAGAUAUGUUACAGAACACCAAUUGCGAAGGCAGCUUACUAUGCGAUGAUUGACGCUGAGGCACGAAAGCGUGGGGAGCAAACAGGAUUAGAUACCCCAGUAGUC
rnacentral:rRNA from 1 species